GACGAACGCUGGCGGCGUGCUUAACACAUGCAAGUCGAACGGAAUGGCCCCUUUGGGGGUACUCGAGUGGCGAACGGGUGAGUAACACGUGAGUAACCUGCCCUUGACUUCGGGAUAACUUCAGGAAACUGGGGCUAAUACCGGAUAGGAAUCCUUGCUGCAUGGUGGGGGUUGGAAAGCUUCGGCGGUUUUGGAUGGACUCGCGGCUUAUCAGCUUGUUGGUGGGGUAGUGGCUUACCAAGGCUUUGACGGGUAGCCGGCCUGAGAGGGCGACCGGCCACAUUGGGACUGAGAUACGGCCCAGACUCCUACGGGAGGCAGCAGUGGGGAAUAUUGCACAAUGGGCGGAAGCCUGAUGCAGCAACGCCGCGUGCGGGAUGACGGCCUUCGGGUUGUAAACCGCUUUCAGCAGGGGCGAAGCUUGUGGUGACGGUACCUGCAGAAGAAGCACCGGCUAACUACGUG
rnacentral:rRNA from 1 species